ACCUGCCAUAAGAUGAGCCCAAGUGGGAUUAGGUAGUUGGUGGGGUAAAGGCCUACCAAGCCUGCGAUCUCUAGCUGGUCUGAGAGGAUGACCAGCCACACUGGAACUGAGACACGGUCCAGACUCCUACGGGAGGCAGCAGUGGGGAAUAUUGCGCAAUGGGGGGAACCCUGACGCAGCCAUGCCGCGUGAAUGAAGAAGGCCUUCGGGUUGUAAAGUUCUUUCGGUAAUGAGGAAGGGAUGUUAUUUAAUAGAUGGCAUCAUUGACGUUAAUUACAGAAGAAGCACCGGCUAACUCCGUGCCAGCAGCCGCGGUAAUACGGAGGGUGCGAGCGUUAAUCGGAAUAACUGGGCGUAAAGGGCACGCAGGCGGACUUUUAAGUGAGAUGUGAAAUCCCCGAGCUUAACUUGGGAAUUGCAUUUCAGACUGGGAGUCUAGAGUACUUUAGGGAGGGGUAGAAUUCCACGUGUAGCGGUGAAAUGCGUAGAGAUGUGGAGGAAUACCGAAGGCGAAGGCAGCCCCUUGGGAAUGUACUGACGCUCAUGUGCGAAAGCGUGGGGAGCAAACAGGAUUAGAUACCCUGGUAGUCCACGCUGUAAACGCUGUCGAUUUGGGGAUUGGGCUAUAUGCUUGGUGCCCGAAGCUAACGUGAUAAAUCGACCGCCUGGGGAGUACGGCCGCAAGGUUAAAACUCAAAUGAAUUGACGGGGGCCCGCACAAGCGGUGGAGCAUGUGGUUUAAUUCGAUGCAACGCGAAGAACCUUACC
rnacentral:rRNA from 1 species